rnacentral:lncRNA from 1 species
GCCGGGAGCGCGCGGUGGACUCGGCGGCGGCGAGUAGUUAGUUAGUUGUUGUUAGUCAGUGUCAGUUGCUCGGCGGCGGCACCGGCGGUCACCAGGAAGGGUACGGGACGGUCGGCGAAGGUGGUCACCGCGGCGGCGUGUAAGCCCCUCAGGUGCUGGGCUCUAGCUGUUUGUGUUGAAACCUGCCAAAUCAUACUCUUUUGUUGGAUGGUUUAGUUGAGUAAUUUAGGAACCAAACUGUGGCCCCUGGCAAGGCAAGUUGAGUUCAAGGCUCCAUAUCACUGCUGCAAAUUCCUGUUUUCACUGUAAGAGGUGUGUAUGAUGAGCCUUAUUUUCUUAUUACUGUUCUCUUUACUGUAAUUCCUGCUUCCUA